rnacentral:antisense_RNA from 1 species
CACAGUUCAUGGUAAAGCCCAAGACUGUACCUGCCCGUCCACUGCCUUUUCCAUGUAUCCUGGAACUGAGCAUAGACCUCUUCCCAGGCAGAGCUGACAGCAAGUAAAGGAGAUCAUAAUCAGGGGACCAAACAACUUUGUCUAAAGUGUGAAUGUCACCUAAGGAGAAGCUGUGAGAUCAGAAGGGUGGGGCAGAGGAGCAGACACCAUGAGGGAGAGUCCUUGGGGGUACAUCUGCCAGACUGACACUGUCUGGCCUGGGCAGUGGAGGGGCUAGCAGGAACCACAGGUACUGGUGGUGUGGCUACUACCGUUACAACUGCCUGUGCUUGGACAUGGACCCUCUGCAAUAUGCGGCAGUCUCAUUCAUUGCCCCCUACAUUCUACACCAAGUAGAAAUGGAAGGCAAUUGGAUACUUCACAGACAAGAUCUAAGUGGAGAAGGAAUGCGUCCUGUGGCUGCAGAGAUCCUUGGAGCUUGGAGGGGAGAGCUUGAGCCCCACUGGUGAUGACUUCCCACAGCUCGCCAACUCAGCCCUCCCUAAGUCCCCAUCGGGGGCCAAUUCUCUCUCCGGGGUUGGGGGGACUCCCCCAUAGCUCAUCCAUCAUAGGGAUGUUGGUAUCUACUGUGGGUUGGGUAGGGCCGAUGUGCUGAGGAUGGCUCCCCCACAAGCAAGAGAUGUGGAUUUGGGGAGCUUCCCAUCUUGUGUUGAAGGAACAUAACUCAGAAUAAUAAGAGCCAACUAUAACAAACCCACAGCCAACACCAUACUGAAUGGGCAAAAGCUGCAGGCAUUCCCCUUGAAAAGUGGCACAGGAUAAGGAAGCCCUUUCUCACCACUCCUAUUCAAUAUAGUGUUGAAAGUCCUGAUCACAGCAGUCAGGCAACAGAAAUAAUAAAGGGCAUCCAAAUAGGAAGAGAGGAAGUCAAACUAUCCUUGUUUGCAGACAGUAUGAUUCUAUAUCUAGAAAACCCCAUAGCCUCAGCCCAAAAGGUCCUUCAUCUGUUAAUUUCAGCAAAGUUUCAGGAGACAAAAUCAAUGUACAAAAAUCACUAACAUUCCUAUACACAGUCGCCAAGCCAAGAGCCAAAUCAGGAGCACAAUCCCAUUCAUAAUUGCCACAAAAAAGAAUAAAAUACCUAGGAAUGCAGCUAACCAAGGAAGUAAAGGAUCUCUACAAUGAGAAUCACAAACGCUGCUCAAAGAAAUCAGGGAUGACACAAAAAAAUGGAAAAACUUUCCAUGCUCAUGGCUAGGAAGAAUCAAUAUCAUUAAAGUGGCCAUACUACCCAAAGCAAUUUAUAGAUUCAAUGCUAUUCCUAUCAAACUAUCAAUUACAUUUUUCACAGAACUAGAAAAAACUUAAAAUUCAUACGGAACCAAAAAGCCUAAGUAGUCAAGGCAAUCCUAAACAAAAAGAACAAAGGUGGAGGCAUCACAUUACCUAACUUCAAACUACAGGGCUACCAUGACCAAAACAGCAUGGUACUGGUACAAAAGCAGACACACAGACCAGUGGGACAGAAUAGCGAGCCUAAAAAUAAGGCCACAAACCUACAGCCAUCUGAUCUUCAACAAAGUUGACAAAAACAAGCAAUGGGGAAAGGUCUCCCUAUCCAAUAAAUGGUGCUGGGAUAACUGGCUGGCCAUAUGCAGAAGAUCAUAACUGGACCCCUUUUACUAUGUACAAAAAUUAAGAUGGUUUAAAGAGUUAAAACCCAAAAUUAUAAAAAUCCUGAAGAUAACUUAGGCAAUACCAUUCUGGACAUAGGAACUGGCAAAGAUUUCAUGAUGAAGACACCAAAAGCAAUUGUAACAAAAGCAAAAAUGGACAAAUCAGAUUUAAGAGCUUCUUCACAGCAAAAUAAACAGGGCAGACAAUCUACCGAAUGACAGAAAAUUUUUGCAAACUAUGCAUCUGACAAGGGGCUAAUAUCUAGCAUCUAUAAGGAAUUUAAACACAGUUACAGG